rnacentral:rRNA from 1 species
CCUACGGGAGGCAGCAGUGGGGAAUAUUGCACAAUGGAGGAAAGCCUGAUGCAGCGACGCCGCGUGCGGGAAGAAGUAUCUCUGUAUGUUAAACUCCAUUAGUAGGGGAGUAAAUGACGGUACGUGAAUAAGGAGCACCGGCUAACUACGUGCCAGCAGCCGCGGUAAUGCGUAGGGAGCCAGCGUUAUCCGGAUUUACUGGGUGUAAGGGGGGCGUAGACGGAUUGGUAAGUCUGAAGUGAAAGGCCGGGGCUCAACCGCGGGACUGCUUUGGAAACUGUUAAGCUGGAGUGCAGGAGAGGUAAGUGGAAUGCAUAGUGUAGCGGUGAAAUGCGUAGAGAUUAGGAGGAACACCAGUGGCGAAGGCGGCUUACUGGACUGUAACUGACGUUGAGGCUCGAAAGCGUGGGGAGCAAACAGGAUUAGAUACCCUAGUAGUC